rnacentral:rRNA from 1 species
CCUACGGGAGGCAGCAGUGAGGAAUAUUGGUCAAUGGGCGCGAGCCUGAACCAGCCAAGUCGCGUGAGGGAAGACGGUCCUAUGGAUUGUAAACCUCUUUUGUCGGGGAGCAAAAGACGCCACGCGUGGCGUUCCGAGAGUACCCGAAGAAAAAGCAUCGGCUAAAUCCGUUCCAGCAGCCGCGGUAAUCCGGAGGAUGCGAGCGUUGUCCGGAUUUAUUGGGUUUAACGGGUGCGCAGGCGGAAGGUCAAGUCAGCGGUAAAAUUGAGAGGCUCAACCUCUUCGAGCCGUUGAAACUGGUUUUCUGGAGUGAGUGAGAAGUAUGCGGAAUGCGUGGUGUAGCGGUGAAAUGCAUAGAUAUCACGCAGAACUCCGAUUGCGAAGGCAGCAUACCGGCGCUCAACUGACGCUCAUGCACGAAAGUGUGGGUAUCGAACAGGAUUAGAUACCCCAGUAGUC